UACGUAGGGUGCAAGCGUUGUCCGGAAUUAUUGGGCGUAAAGAGCUCGUAGGCGGUCUGUCGCGUCUGCUGUGAAAACUCAGGGCUUAACCCUGAGCUUGCAGUGGGUACGGGCAGACUAGAGUGCGGUAGGGGAGACUGGAAUUCCUGGUGUAGCGGUGAAAUGCGCAGAUAUCAGGAGGAACACCGGUGGCGAAGGCGGUUCUCUGGGCCUUAC
rnacentral:rRNA from 1 species